GGGGAUGAAGUGCUCCUUCGUGAUUGGGUCCACGGCAUGUUGAAUGAUAUAGUGCUGUACAGUAGUGAAGUUCGGUGUGCUUUUUUUUAUAUUAUUCAGGUUUCCCUUUUAUUCAAAAUAGCAAUAAAGAAGAUGUGGGAUAGAUGGGCCUUCCCUUGCUUCGUGCUUCUAACUAGAUUUUGGCCUAAAAAAAUUAUAAUGGAACUAAAUGAGGAUUCUGGGAGUUGUAGUUGAACAUAUCUGGCAGGCACUCUAUUUGGAAAUAGGCUCCAGACAUUUUGCUGCUAAGGCUGAGCAUAUUAUCACUUGAUGAUAACUCAAAAGGUGCAUAAUAGGCAGAAGAUAAGAUGCCAGUAGGAGAACUAAAAAGGAUUUCAUUUCCUUCUCCAUUUCCCCAAUUCUUAGGAUGCUCCCUGCAAAAUGGCUCAUGAAAAGAAAAACACCUCAAGCAAGGACAUCAAAGCCUUUAUUGAGAAAGAAAAAAGCACCAAUGAACAAAGCAACUAUCUCUACCUCAGGGGACUAAGGGACCCACAGAAUGGAGAAAGGGGGAUGCUGGCUGGGAAAUUCUGGGAGUUGAAGUCCAUACAUUUUAGAGUUGCUGAGAUUGAGAAACACUGCCUUAAUGUGUGUGUGUGUUCAUCUUUUUUCAAACUUCCACACAAGCCUGAAAAAAAUAUGAUGCUUUAAUGAAUCAUAAAUUGUUUAAUAAAUGAUUAAGGCAGCACA